AGGAUAGAGGCCUACCAUGGUGGUAACGGGUAACGGGGUGUUAGGGCACGACACCGGAGAGGGAGCCUGAGAAACGGCUACCACAUCCAAGGAUGGCAGCAGGCGCGCAAAUUACCCAAUCCCGACACGGGGAGGUAGUGACAAUAAAUAACAAUACGGGGUUCUUUCGGAUCUCGUAAUUGGAAUGAGUACAAUUUAAAUCUCUUAACGAGGAACAAUUGGAGGGCAAGUCUGGUGCCAGCAGCCGCGGUAAUUCCAGCUCCAAUAGCGUAUAUUAAAGUUGUUGCAGUUAAAAAGCUCGUAGUUGAAUUUCGGGGUUAGUAGGUUGGUCAUGCCUCUGGUAUGUACUGGUCUCACUGAUUCCUCCUUCCUGAUGAACCGUAAUGCCAUUAAUUUGGUGUUGCGGGGAAUUUGGACUGUUACUUUGAAAAAAUUAGAGUGUUUAAAGCAAGCUAACGCUUGAAUACAUUAGCAUGGAAUAAUGAAAUAGGACGUUCGAUCUUAUUUUGUUGGUUUCUAGGAUUGACGUAAUGAUUAAUAGGGAUAGUUGGGGGCAUUAGUAUUCAAUUGUCAGAGGUGAAAUUCUUGGAUUUAUUGAAGACUAACUACUGCGAAAGCAUUUGCCAAGGAUGUUUUCAUUAAUCAAGAACGAAAGUUAGGGGAUCGAAGACGAUCAGAUACCGUCGUAGUCUUAACCAUAAACUAUGCCGACUA
rnacentral:rRNA from 1 species